AUUGAACGCUGGCGGCAGGCCUAACACAUGCAAGUCGAGCGGAUGAAGGGAGCUUUCUCCUGGUUUCAGCGGCGGACGGGUGAGUAAUGCCUAGGAGUCUGCCUGGUAGUAGGGUAUAACGUCCGGAAACGAGCGCUAAUACCGCAUACGUCCUGAGUGAGAAGGAGGGGGAUCUUCGGACAUCACGCUAUCAGAUGAGCCUAGGUCGGUUUAGCUAGUUGGUGGGGUAAAUGCCUACCAAGGCGACGAUCCGUAACUGGUCUGAGAGGAUGAUCAGUCACACUGGAACUGAGACACGGUCCAGACUCCUACGGGAGGCAGCAGUGGGGAAUAUUGGACAAAGGGCGAAAGCCUGAUCCAGCCAUGCCGCGUGUGUGAAGAAGGUCUUCGGAUUGUAAAGCACUGUAAGUUGGGAGGAAGGGCAGUAAGUUUAUACCUUGCUGUUUUGACGUGACCAACAGAAAAAGCAACGGGUAACUUCGUG
rnacentral:rRNA from 1 species